rnacentral:tRNA from 1 species
GCAGUGGUAGUUCAGUUGGUUAGAAUAUCGGCCUGUCACGCCGGGGGUCGCGAGUUCGAGUCUCGUCCACUGCGCCA